rnacentral:tRNA from 1 species
GGGGUGGUAGCUCCAACGGAGAGCGUCUGCCUUGCACGCAGAAGGUUAUGGGUUCAAAUCCCAUCCACUCCA